AUGAACGCUAGCGGCAGGCCUAACACAUGCAAGUCGAGGGGCAGCGGGAAUGAAGCUUGCUUCAUUUGCCGGCGACCGGCGCACGGGUGCGUAACGCGUAUGUAACCUACCCUGAACUGGGGAAUAACACUGAGAAAUCGGUACUAAUACCCCAUAAUACACUGGAAGGCAUCUUCUGGUGUUGAAAGCUCCGGCGGUUCAAGAUGGACAUGCGUUGUAUUAGCUAGUUGGUGAGGUAACGGCUCACCAAGGCGACGAUACAUAGGGGGACUGAGAGGUUAACCCCCCACAUUGGUACUGAGACACGGACCAAACUCCUACGGGAGGCAGCAGUGAGGAAUAUUGGUCAAUGGACGCAAGUCUGAACCAGCCAUGCCGCGUGCAGGAAGACGGCUCUAUGAGUUGUAAACUGCUUUUGUACGAGGGUAAACUCGGAUACGUGUAUCCGACUGAAAGUAUCGUACGAAUAAGGAUCGGCUAACUCCGUGCCAGCAGCCGCGGUAAUACGGAGGAUCCAAGCGUUAUCCGGAUUUAUUGGGUUUAAAGGGUGCGUAGGCGGUUUGAUAAGUUAGAGGUGAAAGCUCGGGGCUUAACUCCGAGACUGCCUCUAAUACUGUUGAGCUAGAGAGUAGUUGCGGUAGGCGGAAUGUAUGGUGUAGCGGUGAAAUGCGUAGAGAUCAUACAGAACACCGAUUGCGAAGGCAGCUUACCAAACUAUAUCUGACGUUGAGGCACGAAAGCGUGGGGAGCAAACAGGAUUAGAUACCCUGGUAGUCCACGCAGUAAACGAUGAUAGCUCGUUGUCGGCGAUACACAGUCGGUGACUAAGAGAAAUCGAUAAGCUAUCCACCUGGGGAGUACGUUCGCAAGAAUGAAACUCAAAGGAAUUGACGGGGGCCCGCACAAGCAGUGGAGUAUGUGGUUUAAUUCGACGCAACGCGAAGAACCUUACCAGGUCUUGACAUCGAGGUAAAGCCGUAAGAGAUUACGGUGAGGCUUCGGCCGACCGAAGACAGGUGGUGCAUGGUUGUCGUCAGCUCGUGCCGUGAGGUGUCGGGUUAAGUCCCAUAACGAGCGCAACCCUUGCUGUUAGUUGCCAUCAGAGAGGUUUGAGCAAUCAAAUGAGCUGGGCACUCUAACGGGACUGCCGGUGCAAGCCGGAGGAAGGUGAGGAUGACGUCAAAUCAGCACGGCCCUUACGUCCGGGGCGACACACGUGUUACAAUGGUAGGUACAGAGGGCAGCCACCCAGCGAUGGGGCGCAAAUCUCGAAAGCCUAUCUCAGUUCGGAUUGGAGGCUGAAACUCGCCUCCAUGAAGUUGGAUUCGCUAGUAAUCGCGCAUCAGCCAUGGCGCGGUGAAUACGUUCCCGGGCCUUGUACACACCGCCCGUCAAGCCAUGGGAGCCGGGGGUGCCUGAAGUUCGUGACCGCGAGGAGCGACCUAGGGCAAAACUGGUGACUGGGGCU
rnacentral:rRNA from 1 species